rnacentral:sRNA from 1 species
GCUGGAUGUGGUGGUGCACGCCUGUAAUCCCAGCAGCUUGGGAGGCUGAGGUAGGAGGAUCAUGAGUUCGAAGCCAGCCUCAGCAACUUAGAGAACCCCUAAGCAACUCAGUGACACCCUGUCUCUA